GACGAACGCUGGCGGCGUGCUUAACACAUGCAAGUCGAGCGGUAAGGCCCUUUCGGGGUACGACGAGCGGCGAACGGGUGAGUAGCACGUGGGUGACCUGCCCUCCAGCUCUGGGAUAAGCCUGGGAAACCGGGUACUAAUACUGGAUAUGACUCCAUGACGCAUGUUGUGGGGUGGAAAGCCUUGUGCGGCUGAGGAUGGGCCCGCGGCCUAUCAGCUUGUUGGUGGGGGGA
rnacentral:rRNA from 1 species